AUUCCAGUCCCCCAACAUAAAACAGAUAGCCGCAGCACAGUAUACGAAACGAAGAUCUGUCUCUGCCCCAAUAUGGAUGGGAAGAAAACUGCCAUCAGGUUGUUGCAAGUUUCUCAUUGAUGUCAAUAUUGAUUUGGAGUCAACAUUUGACAAAUUAUAGCCGACAGUCUUUAGUGUAGCUAGUGCACAAUAUGUGCUAGCCAGAUGACUAAGAUUGUGAAUCAAAACCCCAUCACAGCCCAAGGGGAAUUGGGAAGAUCGAGAACCUUGGAACCCAUAGAAUUGUCCAUUGUUCAAUUGAUUUUUAUCCCCAGGGU
rnacentral:misc_RNA from 1 species